GGUUAAGCGACUAAGCGUACACGGUGGAUGCCCGGCAGUCAGAGGCGAUGAAGGGCGUGCUAAUCUGCGAUAAGCGCCGGUAAGGUGAUAUGAACCGUUAUAACCGGCGAUACCCGAAUGGGGAAACCCAGUGUGAUUCGUCACACUAUCAUUAACUGAAUCCAUAGGUUAAUGAGGCGAACCGGGGAACUGAAACAUCUAAGUACCCCGAGGAAAAGAAAUCAACCGAGAUUCCCCAGUAGCGGCGAGCGAACGGGGAGGAGCCCAGAGCCUGAAUCAGCAUGUGUGUUAGUGGAAGCGUCUGGAAAGGCGCGCGAUACAGGGUGACAGCCCCGUACACAAAAGCGCAUGUGCUGUGAGCUCGAUGAGUAGGGCGGGACACGUGGUAUCCUGUCUGAAUAUGGGGGACCAUCCUCCAAGGCUAAAUACUCCUGACUGACCGAUAGUGAACCAGUACCGUGAGGGAAAGGCGAAAAGAACCCCGGCGAGGGAGUGAAAAGAACCUGAAACCGUGUACGUACAAGCAGUGGGAGCCCCACCACUAAGCCAGUGGUGAACUCCACAUACGCAUCCUUUGCUGAGGAUACGGUUAACGGAGCGAAAGCGACGUUCAACCGCAAAAGAAGCAGAGGGGGCUUAGUGGUGGGGUGACUGCGUACCUUUGUAUAAUGGGUCAGCGACUUAUAUUCUGUAGCAAGGUUAACCGUAUAGGGAGCCGGAGGGAAACCGAGUCUUAAUUGGGCGUUAAGUUGCAGGGUAUAGACCCGAAACCCGGUGAUCUAGCCAUGGGCAGGUUGAAGGUUGGGUAACACUAACUGGAGGACCGAACCGACUAAUGUUGAAAAAUUAGCGGAUGACCUGUGGCUGGGGGUGAAAGGCCAAUCAAACCGGGAGAUAGCUGGUUCUCCCCGAAAGCUAUUUAGGUAGCGCCUCGUGAACUCAUCUCCGGGGUAGAGCACUGUUUCGGCUAGGGGCCAUCCCGGCUUACCAACCCGAUGCAAACUGCGAAUACCGGAGAAUGUUAUCACGGGAGACACACGGCGGGUGCUAACGUCCGUCGUGAAGAGGGAAACAACCCAGACCGCCAGCUAAGGUCCCAAAGUCAUGGUUAAGUGGGAAACGAUGUGGGAAGGCCCAGACAGCCGGGAUGUUGGCUUAGAAGCAGCCAUCAUUUAAAGAAAGCGUAAUAGCUCACUGGUCGAGUCGGCCUGCGCGGAAGAUGUAACGGGGCUAAACCAUGCACCGAAGCUGCGGCAGCGACACUGUGUGUUGUUGGGUAGGGAGCGUUCUGUAAGCCUGUGAAGGUGUGUCGUGAGGCAUGCUGGAGGUAUCAGAAGUGCGAAUGCUGACAUAAGUAACGAUAAAGCGGGUGAAAAGCCCGCUCGCCGGAAGACCAAGGGUUCCUGUCCAACGUUAAUCGGGGCAGGGUGAGUCGACCCUAAGGCGAGGCCGAAAGGCGUAGUCGAUGGGAAACGGGUUAAUAUUCCCGUACUUGGUGUUACUGCGAAGGGGGACGGAGAAGGCUAUGUUGGCCGGGCGACGGUUGUCCCGGUUUAAGCGUGUAGGCUGGUUUUCCGAGCAAAUCCGGAAAAUCAAGGCUGAGGCGUGAUGACGAGGCACUACGGUGCUGAAGCAACAAAUGCCCUGCUUCCGUGAAAAGCCUCUAAGCAUCAGGUAACAUCAAAUCGUACCCCAAACCGACACAGGUGGUCAGGUAGAGAAUACCAAGGCGCUUGAGAGAACUCGGGUGAAGGAACUAGGCAAAAUGGUGCCGUAACUUCGGGAGAAGGCACGCUGACACGUAGGUGAAGUGAUUUACUCACGGAGCUGAAGUCAGUCGAAGAUACCAGCUGGCUGCAACUGUUUAUUAAAAACACAGCACUGUGCAAACACGAAAGUGGACGUAUACGGUGUGACGCCUGCCCGGUGCCGGAAGGUUAAUUGAUGGGGUCAGCGCAAGCGAAGCUCCUGAUCGAAGCCCCGGUAAACGGCGGCCGUAACUAUAACGGUCCUAAGGUAGCGAAAUUCCUUGUCGGGUAAGUUCCGACCUGCACGAAUGGCGUAAUGAUGGCGGGCUGUCUCCACCCGAGACUCAGUGAAAUUGAACUCGCUGUGAAGAUGCAGUGUACCCGCGGCAAGACGGAAAGACCCCGUGAACCUUUACUAUAGCUUGACACUGAACAUUGAGCCUUGAUGUGUAGGAUAGGUGGGAGGCUUUGAAGUGUGGACGCCAGUCUGCAUGGAGCCGACCUUGAAAUACCACCCUUUAAUGUUUGAUGUUCUAACGUGGACCCGUUACCCGGGUUGCGGACAGUGUCUGGUGGGUAGUUUGACUGGGGCGGUCUCCUCCUAAAGAGUAACGGAGGAGCACGAAGGUUGGCUAAUCUGGUCGGACAUCAGGAGGUUAGUGCAAUGGCAUAAGCCAGCUUGACUGCGAGCGUGACGGCGCGAGCAGGUGCGAAAGCAGGUCAUAGUGAUCCGGUGGUUCUGAAUGGAAGGGCCAUCGCUCAACGGAUAAAAGGUACUCCGGGAUAACAGGCUGAUACCGCCCAAGAGUUCAUAUCGACGGCGGUGUUUGGCACCUCGAUGUCGGCUCAUCACAUCCUGGGGCUGAAGUAGGUCCCAAGGGUAUGGCUGUUCGCCAUUUAAAGUGGUACGCGAGCUGGGUUUAGAACGUCGUGAGACAGUUCGGUCCCUAUCUGCCGUGGGCGCUGGAGAACUGAGGGGGCUGCUCCUAGUACGAGAGGACCGGAGUGGACGCAUCACUGGUGUUCGGGUUGUCAUGCCAAUGGCACUGCCCGGUAGCUAAAUGCGGAAGAGAUAAGUGCUGAAAGCAUCUAAGCACGAAACUUGCCCCGAGAUGAGUUCUCCCUGAGACUUAGAGUCUCCUGAAGGAACGUUGAAGACGACGACGUUGAUAGGCCGGGUGUGUAAGCGCAGCGAUGCGUUGAGCUAACCGGUACUAAUGAACCGUGAGGCUUAACCUU
rnacentral:rRNA from 1 species